rnacentral:rRNA from 1 species
CAGAGGGAUAGCCCAGAGAAAUUUGGAUUAUUUCCUCAUAGUAUGUUAGGGUGGCAUCACUUUAACAUUAAAGUCACAACGGCAAAAGAUGAGCAUGCGUCCCAUUAGCUAGUUGGUAAGGUAACGGCUUACCAAGGCGACGAUGGGUAGGGGUCCUGAGAGGGAGAUCCCCCACACUGGUACUGAGACACGGACCAGACUCCUACGGGAGGCAGCAGUGAGGAAUAUUGGUCAAUGGGCGCAAGCCUGAACCAGCCAUGCCGCGUGCAGGAUGACGGUCCUAUGGAUUGUAAACUGCUUUUGUACAGGAAGAAACAGUUCUACGUGUAGAACCUUGACGGUACUGUAAGAAUAAGGAUCGGCUAACUCCGUGCCAGCAGCCGCGGUAAUACGGAGGAUCCAAGCGUUAUCCGGAAUCAUUGGGUUUAAAGGGUCCGUAGGCGGUUUAGUAAGUCAGUGGUGAAAGCCCAUCGCUCAACGGUGGAACGGCCAUUGAUACUGCUAGACUUGAAUUAUUGGGAAGUAACUAGAAUAUGUAGUGUAGCGGUGAAAUGCUUAGAGAUUACAUGGAAUACCAAUUGCGAAGGCAGGUUACUACCAAUGGAUUGACGCUGAUGGACGAAAGCGUGGGGAGCGAACAGGAUUAGAUACCCUGGUAGUCCACGCCGUAAACGAUGGAUACUAGCUGUUGGUAGCAAUAUCAGUGGCUAAGCGAAAGUGAUAAGUAUCCCACCUGGGGAGUACGAACGCAAGUUUGAAACUCAAAGGAAUUGACGGGGGCCCGCACAAGCGGUGGAGCAUGUGGUUUAAUUCGAUGAUACGCGAGGAACCUUACCAAGGCUUAAAUGUAGAUUGACCGGUUUGGAAACAGAUCUUUCGCAAGACAAUUUACAAGGUGCUGCAUGGUUGUCGUCAGCUCGUGCCGUGAGGUGUCAGGUUAAGUCCUAUAACGAGCGCAACCCCUGUUGUUAGUUGCCAGCGAGUCAUGUCGGGAACUCUAACGAGACUGCCAGUGCAAACUGUGAGGAAGGUGGGGAUGACGUCAAAUCAUCACGGCCCUUACGCCUUGGGCUACACACGUGCUACAAUGGCCGGUACAGAGAGCAGCCACUUCGUGAGGAGGAGCGAAUCUAUAAAGCAGGUCACAGUUCGGAUCGGAGUCUGCAACUCGACUCCGGAAG